CUGUGUGUCCCUAUUGGUCUCCACCUGUCCCUAUGGGGUUUCUAUGGGUCCCUAUGGGUCCCUAUGGGUCUUUAUGGGUCCCUAUGGGUCUUUAUGGGUCCCUAUGUGUCCCUAUGGGUCCCUAUGUGUCCCUAUAGGUCUCCAAGUGUCCCUAUGUAUCCCUAUGGGUCUCUCUGUGUCCCUAUGGGUCCCUCUGCAUCCCUAUGGGGUUUCUGUGGGUCCCUAUGGGUCUCUAUGGGUACCUAUGUGUCCCUAUGGGUCUCUCUGCGUCCCUAUGGGGUUUCUAUUGGUCCCUCUGUGUCCCUAUGGGGUCCCUCUGUGUCCCUAUGGGGUUUCUAUGGGUCCCUCUGUGUCCCUAUGGGUC
rnacentral:lncRNA from 1 species